rnacentral:rRNA from 1 species
UGGUGCAGCAGCCGCGGUAUUCCAGCUCCAAUAGCGUAUAUUAAAAUUGUUGCAGUUAAAAAGCUCGUAGUUGAAUUUCUGCUACAUUGCCUAUUCUCCUUUACGAGUUUGGGUCUUUUGUGGCUUAUCUGGGUUCGCUUGCGUUCCCGGUGUUUUACUUUGAGAAAAUUAGAGUGCUCAAAGCAGGCUUUUGCCUUGAAUAGUUUAGCAUGGAAUAAUAAAGUAGGACUUUGGUUCUAUUUUGUUGGUUUUAGGUACCAAAGUAAUGGUUAAUAGGAACAGUUGGGGGCAUUCGUAUUUAACUGUCAGAGGUGAAAUUCUUAGAUUUGUUAAAGACGAACUACUGCGAAAGCAUUUGCCAAGGAUGUUUUCAUUAAUCAAGAACGAAAGUUAGGGGAUCGAAGACGAUCAGAUACCGUCGUAGUCCUAACCAUAAACUAUGCCGACUAGAGAUUGGAGGUCGUCAGUUUUUACGACUCCUUCAGCACCUUGAGAGAAAUCAAAGUCUUUGGGUUCUGGGGGGAGUAUGGCUCCACGAUACUCCUCAGCAUGAAANNUUCUCUUUCAUUC